AUGCAUACAGUCGCUCACACAUACAUUACCUUCACCCCCUCAACAAAAAAAAAGACAUUACCAUCACUUCACACAAAAACAUAUAGGGUACGUUCACUGUAUAAACUUGGCUCUACCAGAUUCUUUUAUGACGAUCCUCAUCCUGGUGCCGCUGCUUGUGACUCAUGGCCUUGGGAUUUAGAAGAUUUUCUAGGGGUCGAAUUUGGUAGAUGGACGGCUAGAUCAGGCUCUGAUGCAGACUGGCCUGUCGAAGACCCAGCUGAACCUUGCGAACUCGGCCUCUUUUGCGGCUUUGAUCGCACGGUCGUGGGCCAGCUCCUCCACCCGCCGGAUCUUGCGCGGCAGCCCGCACACGUACUCCUGCGCGCGCCGCCCCUCGCUGGACAACUGCCCCCCGCCGAGGUCCGCCACCUUCCACCUCCGCACGAAGUGCUCCACCAUGUCGCCGUAGUCCCUUGCUGUGUACACCCCGGUGCGCUGCGCCACCGCCGAGAAGUGCUCGAACAGGUCGGCGUCGCGGCCGUCGGUCAUGAGCUGGCCGGGCAUGGUGAUCUUGUCCCGCAGCACGGCGGCCAGCGCCCGCACCAUUCCGUCCGGGUCGAGCUCGAAGAUCUUGGCGGCCACCUUGGUGUAGGCCGUCUCGUGGCGCUUCUCGUCGGCGGCGACGACGCCGCAGAUCUUAGCGAGGCAGCGGUCGCCGUGGCGCGCAGCUUGCUUGGCGGUGUGGGCGUGGGAGAUGAAGGUUGCGCGCUCCUGGAAGGAACCAUAGACGGCAUUGUGGUAGGGGCUGGACGGCCUGAGCAUCUGCAUGCCAUUGCGGAGGAGGUGGUGGACGGUCCGCUCGAUCUGGCGCAUGUCGACGCGGCCGGAGAGGUAGAGGUAGCCGUUGAGGAGGUCGCCGUGGCGGUUCUCCUCGGCCGUCCAUCCGCGGAUCCAGCGCGCCCAGGGGAGGUCGCUGCAGCCUGUGUCGUCGCGGUAGCCCGGCACCCGGUUGCCCAUGCACAUGUACGUCGGCAGCGCCUCCUCCGUUACCAUGUUGCCCACCAGGCAGACCAGCACGUCAUCCGGAACGCCGGAGGCUUGGGCCUGCAGCUCCUCCGUCGUCAUCAUCAUCGACGGCUGCUGCUCGUCGGAGAGGCCAGCUGCAGAGAGGGAAAAGCAGGGGAGCAGGUCGCUGGGCUGCCACGCGUCGUCCACCGGGGUGAGCAGCGGCAGCAGCUGUUCCUCCACCCAGCCGCUCAGGCUCAGACCCCGCACCACCUCCGCCUCCGCCUGCUCUUGCGACGCCAUCCCCAUCACCGUGCCCUCGAAAUUAGCUGUCGCGGUGACCUUGCAGGCCCACCUCCCAGCUCUCGCCGCAGCCCGGCUCCUACACCUGCAUGCACAAACGAUUCCACUUCACCCGCUUGCCGAAUCAAAUCGCACACCUAG
rnacentral:rRNA from 1 species